rnacentral:lncRNA from 1 species
CAGCUUGUAUGGCGGCAAUGGCAGACCUGUAGUAUGUAUUGUCUGCCACAUUCGCUGGGAUGUAGCUGAAGUGAAACCAGAAUCCAAUAGCUCGCCAUAUAGUUUUCUUCUUAUCCUUCAUCCACAUUGUGUCUACCCUCUGCUGCCUUGAAUCUCUGCUGAGGAGAGCAUGCGGAUCUACAUCAUGAAUUGUCGCUCCUUAUGGAAUUUCUCUAGAUGACUUCUUUCGGCUACCAAAACUACCCAGCAUAGAUG